GGAAACACCACCUCCUUUCUCUAUCCUUAUUUCUGCUGCUCCGCCGCAUCUCCUAGGGGCGAUGGUUUCGCCAUGAUGGCUAGGUCUCCUACAAAGCAUUGGCAAGGUUCCUGGUCAAGGUGCUUGGAUGUCAGUCUGUCUAUAACGUAGAUGUUUGAAUGAUAUGAAGAAUGACAUGGCACCCUGAGUGAUCUGAUGUUGUGUGUUGGAAUGGUGACAUGUGGUUGUGGGGUUCAGGGUCAAGGAUGGUUAUCAUAAUUACAAGAAGGUGUCUUCCUGGAGCUGAAUGCCUACUUAUUUUCCGCCAUAUAACGAGCUACAACUGUCAGGUUUACUCUAUCGAAAUUGCAUGUUUUGCAGUUUACAUUUUAGACUCCACAUUUUCUUGACGUCCUGGAAGUCAGUCAUGUCAUUUCUAAGGCUUACUCCCAGCUUUCUUAUUCACCGAGGAAUUUGGCUCAUGACUAAAGAGGAGAAAGGAUCCCGGUUGUCCUCAGUUUGCAAUUUUACUCGGUCACCAAUAUGCUGGAAUUCAAAUAUUUGAAAGAGAUAGGGAUACAUGAUGUGGUUUAAAACAAUGGUAGGUUGUAAACAUGAGCCCGAUUUAGUCUACUAUUUGUUCAACUCUGUAAUAAUUCUUAGAACUAGAAGUAUUAUCUACUAUGUAUCUAUUUUUUUAGUCCUACUCUUAUCUUUUAUUUGGUUUUUACCAUGAA